CCUACGGGGGGCAGCAGUGGGGGAUAUUGCACAAUGGGGGGAACCCUGAUGCAGCGACGCCGCGUGGGUGAAGAAGCGCCUCGGCGCGUAAAGCCCUGUCAGCAGGGAAGAAAAUGACGGUACCUGAAGAAGACGCCCCGACUAACUACGUGCCAGCAGCCGCGGUAAUACGUAGGGGGCAAGCGUGAUCCGGAUUUACUGGGUGGAAAGGGGGCGCAGACGGCGAUGCAAGCCAGGGGUGAAAGCCCGGGGCCCAACCCCGGGACUGCUCUUGGAACUGCGUGGCUGGAGUGCAGGAGGGGCAGGCGGAAUUCCUGGUGUAGCGGUGAAAUGCGUAGAUAUCAGGAGGAACACCGGUGGCGAAGGCGGCCUGCUGGACUGCAACUGACGUUGAGGCCCGAAAGCGUGGGGAGCAAACAGGAUUAGAUACCCCAGUAGUC
rnacentral:rRNA from 1 species